rnacentral:lncRNA from 1 species
AUGGGCGAAACCAUCGGGGCCGCGGGGCUCCUGGCGGGGACGGCGGGGACAGCGGGCGGCGGCGGCGGCCCUUUGUUGGCUGCCCCUCGGCCGGAGGCCCGGCGGGCGCAGGAGGCCGGGGCCCGGGACCACGGCGCUAUGAUCAACUUUGCCGGGGACCAAUUCACAGCUUUCUCCAGGAGCGCCUCCCAUCCAGACGCCUAUCCCAGCAUCUUUCCUGCGGAGGGAUCCUGGGGACUUACCAUCUGGCUUCUUUUUCCACACACGGCCGAACCUGGGCAAAGGAAUCGAUCAUAGUGCUAAUGGUUCAUUCGGUGCCGCUCACACGCUCUCGCCCCUGCCCGUUUUGUUCCCUCUAAGGCAGUGACCGCAACAAGUGAGUAGGCGGGUACCGGCGCAACCCGUUUCGAAGCGCACACGAUCAUUUGAUUGAAUUGAACGUGUGGAAUGACUCAUUUUAUAUUCAGCGUCCACUGAUGGCCCAAGUGACAUCAGCAUAAUGCUGGUGCUUUUGGGCCCGAGGGCCUUAAAUGAGCUGGUGGUCGCCAGCUCAGCUGCCGCGGUAACCUCUGUAGUAUUUGCCUCUUCUGUUAAGCCAUGAUAUUUUCAGGUUUCCUCCCUGAGAUUCCCUGGGCGGUUUCUGGGUCAGAAACCUUCACCUGUUUCAUUCUCUCCCACUGGGGUGAGGUAUGAGGUAGUUCAUUUUGGGAGCCUGGAGGGGUGGUAAGUCAGACGUAGUUGGUCGGUGGGUGCCUUCUGGGUUCCUCAACUCCAUCAUUCUGUUGAGGACAGGGAAUAUGUCUGUAAAGUAUAGUAGAGUGUUCUGCACACAGUAAAACCUCAAUAAAUAUGAUUGAUUGGUUCUUUGCUGGGGAAAGACCUUACAUCAUUUCCGUUCAGGGUCUCCGUAAUUAGAGAUUGCAUCCACGUGGUCAGUUUUUCCCUUAUAACAUUUCUUGGAUCCAUCCACCCCUUGCUCUCCAUCCAAAUAACCUCACACUCUGACUUGGGUGCUCGAAAUAGCCAGAUAAACGACUGAAGCAGCAUCCUCAAUGGUCUCUCUCUGCCUCCAGUAUCUCCCCUCUCCAGUUCACGGUGUUUGCUGGAAACUGAUUCUCUAGUCGGUAGGAGAGUGUCCCAUGAAUUUUCCACGAGAGCAGCUCCCAGUUGUUGACUCAGAAUCCUAAGGCAUCUGCUGUCACAGGGACUCGAGAAACGAUGCAGCCCCCAUGUCCGUGUUAAGAGAUAGGAAACCGAGGGCCAGCAGAGAAAGAGAGCCACAUAACAGAGAGAGGGUCUGAGAGCAACUCAGUCUCUCACCGACUUAGAAGGGGUAGGGAGAGAAGAUGAGGGAAGUUCUAGGAGUACUCGAGGGGAGAAUUCCCUUUUUAAAUAAAUAAAUCAAUAGUAAUAAAUAAAGCAACAGACUGUUUGCAUCCAGUGUAGCUCUUCAUUAUCGAUUAGUGGUAUUGCAUUUGAUCUGUGACCUCGGGAGA